rnacentral:rRNA from 1 species
UACAGAGGUCUCAAGCGUUGUUCGGAUUCAUUGGGCGUAAAGGGUGCGUCGGCGGCGCGGUAAGUCGGGUGUGAAAUCUCGGGGCUUAACUCCGAAACUGCAUUCGAUACUGCCGUGCUUGAGGACUGGAGAGGAGACUGGAAUUUACGGUGUAGCGGUGAAAUGCGUAGAUAUCGUAAGGAAGACCAGUGGCGAAGGCGGGUCUCUGGACAGUUCCUGACGCUGAGGCACGAAGGUCAGGGGAGCAAACGGG